rnacentral:lncRNA from 1 species
UUUUAACGGCCAGUCCUAUUUUAACAGUUAUUUUACUUAAGUAGGACUAAUUAAUAAAUGAGAUCGUAUUUUAGUCUCGUUCGUGGGGAAUGAAUAAAAUUCAGGCUCAAACGAGCCAUUUUUAGGCCUAAUUUUCGGACCUAACCUAUAAUUCCCACGCCCAUAAUUCCUAGGCCCAUACCCCUUAACCUAAAAAAACAUACAAAAACCUAUAUCCCUACAAUUUACAAGGAAAAAAAGGAGAAAAAUAAAUAAACCCUAGACCUACGCCUAAAACCUUACACACAUCAGAUCCGCCGCUCCAUCAAAAAUCCCACCCCCUGAACAUUCUCCUUCUUCCGAAAAAAACAAAAUGAAAAACGUUGAAGACCCCUAGAGAACGGAAGAAGCCUUCCGCCGCUGCUAACCAAAUUCAGACCUCUUAGACCUUUCUUCUCCAUCUUCCAAAAAUCAAAUUACAAAAGAACCCUAGGAAAGAUCCAACCCGUCUUCCUCACCAUAACUCCGGAGUCCAGGCGUACACAGCAGCCCCCGUCUCCAUCUCUCACCGGACCCAGCCCAGCUCGUCAGAAAUCUGGCAACAAUUCUCCGAAAUAGCCGCUAGUUGCUCCAAAAUCCCAUCAAACUCGCGAAAAUCAGUCGAAGACCACCGAUUCAGAGGGUUCCGGUUUGAGCCGAGGUUGAUUCCGUUUUGAUUUCGAGGUUGCUGACAGAGUCUGCGGUCCAGGCUUCUGCUAUCGUCUCGUUUUUCGGUCAGAUUUAGUCCGCUGGAAUUUGCUGUAACUGAGGUCUUGCUAAUAUUAUUGAGGUCCGAUUCCAAACUCUUCCUCUUUUAUCAUGUUUCAUGUGAAUAUUUGUGUUUGCUUCCUCUUGUUUUAGUCCUUUUUAUGUGUAUGAUAAUUACUUGAAUAACUUUAUUUUGUUUGGUAGCUUUUGGUUUGAUAAUGAGUGGUUGCUUUGAUACAUUGAAAUGUCAUUGAGGCACUGCCAUUAUUUUCCUUCUAUUUUGUUGGGUUUGACACAAAUUCUACUUCUCUUCUUCUAGAGUGGAGCUCUUUUUUAGAAUUGUUAUUGAGCUGAAGGUUUGCGUAAAAGAAAUAGCUACUGGAUUUUGAAUCUAUAUUAAGUUGACGUUGAAAUUAAUGAUGUGAAUAAAUUGAAUUGAAAUUUGGAAAUCGUUAUGUUACUUUCGUGGUUGUGAUCGAAAUAUGUUGUUGACCUAUUCUCUUCGUUGUUGGCUGGUUUCACAUGCGUUCUCUAUACGACUCAUUUCUGAUUUUGGACUUAGCUUUACUAUGUCGGAUUUGUGCUGAAUGUUUGAAAUUUUAUUGUGUAGUUAUCUUGGAUUUAGUUUCCUUAUAUUGGAGAUAAAAUUUAAUUAAGUAAUACUUAGAAAUCCUUUGUUCUCUUGUAAUGGCUUUAGAAAUCCAUGUAGUUACACUCUCUAAUUUAGAAGAUAUAAGAAGGUUAACUGUUCUUGAUCUUUGUAUAUGAUUGGAUUUGUUGAGAAAAAAUCUUGAAUUUCAUCAAAUCGUGGGCGUAUUAGCAAGAUGCGGUAUUACUUUUAGUUUCAGAAUGUUUGUUGAAUCCGUGAGAGUGGGGAAAAUAAUAAAAUUAAUUAAUUUGUUAACAUUUUUAGUACUCUUUUAUUUAUUUACUUUGUUACAAUCGUUAGGAGCAUGCUAGGCCGUUAACACUCGGAUAGGCGAACCUUUAGGCGCAUUUUGAAUUUGUUAUCGUGAUUAUGUACACGUUCGCGUGACAUGAUUACUGUUUCUGAAAUGAAUAUCUGUGGAAAAGCCUCUAAGAGCGUUUAAAAUGCUAUUGUGAUUGUGUAUACGUUUGCGUGACAUAAUUACGAUUUUAAAAACUAAGUCGGAGUAUGCGUUCACACAACUUCGAUCAAACUUUCUUAAUAAUGAAAUUAUUGUUAAUAAGCCAAGUAUGAUCAAAGCGACCGUGCUAGAACCACGGAACUCGGGAAUGCCUAAUACCUUCUCCUAGGUUAACAGAAUUCCUUACCCGAAUUUCUGUAUUCGCAAACCAUAAUUAGAGUCAAAUUUCCUCGAUUUGGGAUUUUAAACCGGUGACUUGGGAUACCAUAAAUUGUCCCAAGUGGCGACUCUGAUUUUAGUUUAAAAAGGAGGUGUGACAGCUUUGGCGAUUCUGCUGGGAAUCGAACCCAGAAUCUCUGGUUCAGGGUUCAGAAUUUGAGCUUAUUAAUAUGAUUUUGCUUGGCUUUAUUUAUUGUUGAUAUUACUGUAUUCUGUGCACCUUUUGUGAUAAAUGCUCUCUGUUUACUGCUUUAAUAUUAUUUGAAUUAUAUAUAACUAUUUUCUUACGCCACCCCUCUGAGUUUUCUAAAAAUGGUGCACACGUUCGCGUGGCCCACUUUUUCUGUAAAAAUUAUUCCAAAUAGAACGAGGCUGGGGAAGCAACAAGGCCGGGUAGACUUUAGUGCUCCCGGUAUGUUGCCCCCUCUUCGGCCCCUAUUGUCCGCUCGGGUAAGCCAGGUCUAGAACACAACCGCAGGAUUUAAACCUAGAAAAACACAGACUCAUGCCGGAUCCCUACUAGGAACGUUUGUUUGCAUCACGUGCAUUUGACUUAGGGGACUCAACACAGGGGUUGGGUCCGUCUAGGACAGGUGUACCCAAAAUAACAUACCAUCUUGAUGCAUCAUAUGUGCUACAUAUUGCAUUUCUUCAAGGGUAAAAGGGUCAUUUGGCGGACCAAUGAUAGUUGAGGGAAAAUGAAAAAAAAAGAAAAAAGAGAGGGUGAAGUGUGAAAAUAAAGCAAGUAGGGCCCAUUUAUGUUUUUUGUCACAUUUUUGUUAAGAAAAAAAACAUGAAAAACUCAAAAAAAGGAUUUUGCACUUUUUCAUUAUUUUCAAAAAAUCAAAAAACCAAAAAAGGGGGGAAAAGAAAAUUCACAAAGAGUUUACAUGUUUCAUCAUUUUUCAAAAAAAAAAGGACAAACUAUGUUUUCUCUAAAUUAGUUGUUUUUUUUAAUUCUCGACCGUAUCCAAUCUGCCCGAACUACGCAUGCCUGAUUUUCGUCUUUCGGGGUGUGAUAUGUAGGCAACCCACAUAGGGUCAGGUCUUCCUAGUAAAUCUUAGGUUCUUGGCUUUACGGGGUCUUAGCCAGAUUUUGCACUUCUAGCCACCUUUUGACCACAUAAAUCAUUUUACAAAAAUAGCCUCAAUCAUGUCUUGCAUGUGUCUAAUAGGGAGUGUUAUUUUCUCACAUAGUGUUGGUUAAAGUUUUCUCAUAUAGGUGUGGGUCUAUUUACCGGAGUUUGAGCAUGGCAGACACCCCGGGACCAUCCAGUCAGGAUCGCUCAUCCAGGAGUUGCUUAAGGAUAUUUUUUUUUGUUGAGUUUGUUUUUCUUUUAUGUCAUCUUUUACCUUCUAGUUUUGUACAGUAAUGUCGAGUCUUUUAUUAUAGUAUUUCCUAUUUUGUAUUUGAAAAAAAAAGUGUAAUAAAUCAAAAAUCCAAAAAAAGAGAUUUUGGGUUUUUGUAUUUCUGUUAGAUGUUUUCUUUAGAAUACUAACUCUAGAAGUUCAAAAAAAUCUUUUGUGGUUUUUCUUAGGAAAUUAAUAUCUAGAACUUAAAAUAAAAAUUGCUUUUAUAUUUCCUUUAGUAUAUUAAGACUAAAAAUCAAAAAAAAAAAGAAAAGAAAAGAGUUCUUUUUUUAGUACCUAAAUUUUCUUUUAAGAUAUUAAUUCAAAAAAUCCAAAAAGAUUUUCUUUUGAGGUUCUUUGCGAAAUUAAUGAAAAAUGAAUAAAAAAAUUUCUUUUAUUUUUACUAGAACUUUAGGACAUUGUACAUAGAAGAAAAUAACAUACCUUAUCUUUUGUUUAUGUUUAGAAUUUCUCCUUUAGGUAAUUAAAAAUUGAAAUCCAAAUACAGUUUUUAUCUUUUUCAUUUCUCGUUUCGAAAUCUUUCUUCAGGGAUAUCAAAUGAAAAUUCAAAAUAUUUUUCUUUGGUUUAUCCUUAGACUUCCUUCCUAAAAAAAGAAUCAAAAAUAUUUUUCUCUUCUAGGAAUUAUUCCUUAAUAAUUCCCAUAGAGUAUUUGUUUCAAAAAAAAAAGGAGAAAAUAUAUGCUCGUUAAGCUUGAGUUUAGAAUAGGUAAUAGAACAUUAAGUCUAGAAAAUUCAAAAAAAAAGAAGGAUUUGCUUCUUUUAUUUCUCGUUUCUCAUCAGAGUAGUCAUUAAGGUAAAAAAAGAAAAAGAAAAUGAAAAGAAAAGAAAAUGAGAACGUUAAUUUGUUUACUUUAUUUUCGUUCUUCCCAAACUACGCAAAUAUUUGAUUCAUGCGGCGUCAUGAUACGUAGACAAGAAAAAGCAAAAAAAAAAGAAAAGGAAAAAAGGAAAAAAAGAAGAAAAGAAAAAAAGAGGUGUAAUUAUGGGAUGUGAGAAAUGAGAGGAAAGAAAAAAGUGAUAAUUAGAAGAAAAAAGGGAAGGAAAAUAAGCAAGCCAAGAGUGUUAGAAAAGCAAAUAAAAGAGAAGAUUGAAAUGAACAAAUUGGGAUGAUGCCAACUGACCUCCGUACCCUCGAAGUCAUUUUAGAACCAAUAACUGUGGCUAGGUGCGUUGCACAUAAAGUGAGAUUAUCUUAUAUUAAAUGCCCUAACGCUAGCGUGAUUACUUCAUCUUCAUAGCAGAAAGGUGGUUGGUUUGUGGUUCUUAAAGUGGCAACUCUUCUCUACAACAUAAGGUUGAAAGGAAAUGGCAGACGGCAACGGAAUCGAGUCGGUUGAUACUGGUGCCCAAAAGCAAUCGGUUGAACAAGGCAAUGGGUUGGUUGAAGAGGUAAGGAUGUUAAGACAACACAUUGCAGACAUGUAUCAGGCUUGGAUGACUAGGAAGGUACCACCCCCGCCACCACCUAGCUUCUUAGAUGCUACCUUACCCAAACUCCGGUCAUAGUGCCAGACGAUUCCCCAUACUCUCCAAAUCCACCCGCUUAUCACAGCUUUCCCAACCACCCUAGUAGCUCUAUCAGUCGUCCUCCAAUUACUUUUCCCAAAAAUUUCCCUCCUGUCAUAUCCACUAUCCCCACGAUCACAACUGCUCAACAAUCUUCCCUUCAUAGAUCCAACAAUGAACACCCACUCAAAGCUCAUGAUGCCCAAUAUUACCCCUCAGAGGUUGCCCACAAGGUUCCCGACUCAUACAAGCAGAGCCCUCAGGAUGAUCCUCAUGUUGAAAAUGAAAAGUUCACAGGAAAAGAAGGGCGAGAUGAGAUAUCCAGGAAGCUGAAAGGUAUAGAACAGUCCUUAAGGAGCAUGCAAGAGAUGGGAAAUCAGAUUAAUAUGUUCCCUGAUGUUCAUCUGCCUGCAGGGUUUAAAGUGCCAAAGUUUAAUUUGUAUGAGGGGUGUGGAGAUCUGGUAGCCUAUCUGAGGGGUUAUUGUAGUGAAAUGAGAAGUGUUGGAGGGAAAGACGAGUUGCUGAUGGCGUAUUUCAUUAAGAGCCUGACUGGGGAAUCCUUGGAAUGGCAUACACGUCAAGAUGUUAGUAAGUGGCCUACAUGGCAUGGCAUGACUCAAGAUUUUGUUCGACCCUUUCAAUACAAUAUAGGCAUUACCAUAGAUCGCUCCUCCCUAUCUAAUAUGGAAAAGAAAUCGGAGGAAAGUUUUAGGGAGUUUUGGUUCAGAUGGAACGAACAAGUUUCUUGGGAUAGUCCUCCCAUUGAUAGAAAAGAUGUUGCUAAGCCCCGCCAACCACAGGAUCCAGUGGGCAUUCCCGCUCAACGCUUUCAGCCUCAAUAUCGACCCCAUGGAUAUUCUCGUGCUCCAAAUAUUUCUCCUCAAUGCUACUUCUCUCCACAAAAUCCCCAAAGUCAUACCUCACCUUCCCAGUACCCUAUCCACAAUGCACCGCCAUAUGCUCCACACCCACGAGACCUGCGAUGGCCUGCACCAUUUCCGCAAAUAUCUUACCCGCCUCCUCAAGCACAUCAACCACCUACCCGCAAAAGGUUUCAACUGAGGACAGAGUACAAAAUGAGAAGGCAGCAUCAAAUAAAAAAGUCUUUCACUCCUAUUGGGGAAUCAUAUGCCAGUCUGUUCCAAAGGUUGAGGCAAUUGGACAUGUUAAAGCCGAUUCAGAUAAAAAUGCCAAACCCUUUUCCAAAGAAUUUUGAUUUUUCUCAAAGGUGCGCAUAUUGCUCUAAUGCCCCGGGGCAUGACAUAGAAAAGUGUUGGCAUCUGAAAGGAGCAGUCUAGAAGCUUAUUGAUGCAGGUGACAUUACCGUGCAAAAUUCAAAUGCAGCAGAUACUAGCCAAAGUCCAUUGCCUGUUUAUAAUGAGACGGGUAUAGUGGACAUGAUUUGUGUGGAAAAGGAAUAUGAGAGCUCUUUUGAGGUCCUCGGAGGGCCACUUGCCGCAAAGCAUUCAGCGCUAUCACUCUUGGUUCUGGAAGUUGAUCCUAAGAAUGAGCCGGCCAAAGGGACCUAAAAGCAAUUUGCUAAGGACAAUGCGAUGAAGACUUGUGAAGGUUCUAGUAAUGUUGAUGCGGAACCCAGUGGCUAGAUGUCGAGCUUGGUAAUUGGAAAGAUGCUCCUUUCUUGGCCACCCAGGGACAAGUCUUGGUGGUUCAUUUUGCUGUCAUUUCUGUUGUCCGGAUUAUUUCGGGGUUGUAAUACGGAUAUUGUCUUGUGCCUCAAACCCUUAUAUCCUUUCUAUUUUGCCUAGUUCCUUUAGUCGUAGUAACUCAUUUAGUGUUAUCUAGGUUUGUUCCAGGGUUGUACCCCAGUUUAUUUUACUUGUUUUGUUGUUCAGACCCUUUCACCAUCUGUAUAAUACAAUUUCCUGUUUUCUGUUAUUUCUAGUCAGUGUUUGUUUAGUUAUCUUUCCCUUUUAUAGUUCUUUUCCUACUGACUCUAGUGACAUGAAAUGCAUGCGUAAUUCUCAGCCUGGUCUUAAAAGUUAGUUUAAUCAGGAAACAAUGAAACAAUUUUGAAGAUGAUAGGGACACUUGAGGGAAAUAAGUACAGAUUUGGACAUUUUGAGAUCAUUUGAAGCCCGAACCAUGUGAAAUUGGGGCAGAUAAUUUGGGAAGUUAAUAGGGUGACAAGAAUUCGUUAAAGGAGAGGCAUCCCGGACAAUUUAAAGCGAGCAGUUUUGAGUUCAAGUGUACCUCAAGUAAUAAGAUAAAGUCAAGGGAGUUUGCUCCAAGCAGAUGGAGGGUAUCCAUCGUGAAAAAGAAAUCAUCCAAUGAGAGUUCUGUACUUGACAAGACACUAAAAAAAGAAGAGUGGAAGGCAUAUCAGUGAUGCCAAUGCCGAUGCUGCAAAAGAAAUGCUAUGCAUGAUCUUCAUUUUCAUUUUCAAGUUGCAUGUGUUUUACUUGGUGUUCUUAGAGAUUGGGAGGCCCUCUUUCAGCUACCCAAACACUUAUACCAUUCGAAUACCCUUUUGAGCCUGUACUAAUUUCUUUGACCUCCAUUCUUUUGGAAUCAAGUCGGAGUCAUAAAAAGAAAAGAAGAUUCAUGUCCCCAUAGGUUUACUUUAGAAAGUUCAUUCCAAAAAGAAAAUUAAAAAAAAAAUAAGAAGAGAAAAAAUAGAGAUAAAAAAAAGAAAAAGAAAGAAAAAGAGAAAAAAAGAAGAAGAAAAAGGAAAAAGAAAAAAAAGGAAAAAAGAAAAAGGCAAAUAGUAACAAAGAGUAGUUUUGUGAACUACGUUUGACCCGAUUCUUGUCACCACAAGAUACGUAGACAACCUUAUGGUUCGGUCAUACCAAAUAAAAUAUUUCAUAAUCCCACGAAGUCGAGAGUGGGAAAUUCCAAAAAAACAAUAAAAAAAGAAAGGGAAAAAUAGAUUCAAAUUCCCCUAUUUUAGAAAUUGGGGAAAUUUUUUUAUAAUGGAUUCCAAAAGUUGUAAAUAAAUUAACCUCAUUGUCAUAGUUAGUAUGAGCCUUUAUGAUAUCCUUUUUUCUAAUCCUGUCCAAAAGCCACAUUACUGUCCAAAAAAGACCUCUCAGAUAAUCUUUGAGAGUGUUGAGUUUAGACAUGCCAAGGGUAUAUGAUGUUUUUACCAUGGUUAAUGCCUUGUCAUCUGUAGAAUCAGAGGAAAUAAGAAGAAAAGAACAAAAUGAGAGAGUCUUAUUGGUGAAAACCUUCACAUGCACCAUAAGGCGAUGGUUAGUUGAGAAAAAGAACAAAAGGAGAGAGGCUUGAUAGUGAAAACCCUUCGGGCACUACAAGUCGAAUUUUGAUAACAAGAAUCGGUUAACACUCACAGAUGUUCCCAAUAUAAAACUGGGACAGAAAAAUUUCCUUUAUUUUUUCUGUUUUAUUGUAAUCAGGUGCCCACUUGGAGAACAAGGGAAGACAGUUCAAGUUUAAAGGGAAAGCAGUUUUAAAGGAAAGCGGGUCGAGUUCAGCAGUCAGGCGCCC